rnacentral:rRNA from 1 species
AAACCCCGUCUCAGUUCGGAUUGGAGUCUGCAACUCGACUCCAUGAAGCUGGAUUCGCUAGUAAUCGCGCAUCAGCCAUGGCGCGGUGAAUACGUUCCCGGGCCUUGUACACACCGCCCGUCAAGCCAUGGGAGUCGGGAGUGCCUGAAGUUCGUGACCGCGAGGACCGGCCUAAGGCGAAACUGGUGACUGGGGCUAAGUCGUAACAAGGUACC